UCCAUUUUUUAAAAAAACUGGAAUCCUGUGUUGGAAUGCACACAUGAGGUUUGCUGUCAGUAGGAUCUGAUGGUGCUCCUUAGAUCAUCUGUAGGGCUGUCCUCUGCCAGCCCAGCCGCCAGGCACGGUUCCUGCCCCACUCGCCCUGCACGCAUGCUGGAGCCUAGAGUUUACGGAGCAAGGGUCUUAAACUGUUGAUCUCUCCAGCAGCGCCCUCAGCCACUAUUUCCCCACACGAGUGUCAGUGUUCAGGGGCUUCCUGACAAAUUACCACACACUGGGGGGCUUCGAACUACAGAAGUUUGUGCUGUCACUGUUCGGGAGCCCAGAAGUCUACAGUGGAGGCGUCUGCUGGGCCGGUUCCUCUGGAGGCUCCAAGGGAGAAUCUGUCACCUGCCCUCCCAGCCACUCCGGCGUCCUGGCUUGUGGAUGCCUCACUGGGGUCUCUGACUCAUCUUUGUGGCUUCUUCUGUGUGGGUCUGUCUUCAGAUGUCCUCUCUGUCCCCUUGUAAGGACACUUGCGGUGGCUUCAGGGCCCCCUACUCCAGAAUGACCUCAACUUAAUGACCCUGAUGACAUCUGCCAAGACCCUGCUUCCAAAUAAGGCCACGUCUCCAGGUAGGGGGGCUAGGAUUUAAACAUAUCUUUGGGGGACACCACUCACCCCACCUUGAGAUGUUUCCCCGGUCUGGCAGCCGCUGUCCCUGGGCCUCUCACAGUCUGCAGCAAGGGCCACAGGCCAGGGCACGAGCGCCUGGGUCACCCAGUGGCCGUCGGGACAGCAGCUAACACUGAUCACGGCACCACAUUGCGGAUGUGAGAGCCUGUGUACCGUCCCCAAGAGGGGCUUUAAGUAGAACCCAGAGCUGGACAGUGAAACAGGUUUUAUUCAGGAAUAUUGCAGGAGGGGAAAGAGUGCUCAGGACAGAGCAAGCAGGGGCAGGUGGAUCCGGAUUUAUAGCCAAGGAGCAGGUCUGGGGUUGAGGCAGUAACUGCUAGAGGAAACACCAGAGCAGGGUAGUCCUGGCUAACUGGCUUGACGGGAUCUCAGGCAGGAUCAGGCCAGGCCAUCAGACGUCACAAGGGGCGGGGGUGGGGGGGUGGGGGGGAUGGAGGGGCGAGGCAUUUGCUAGCUGAGCAGGGUGGGGGAUUCUCCCUGAACUAACUUAGCAGGUUUCUCGCUGGACAACACGUCUGCUACAGGAGAGGGUCUGUCGGGUGCUGGUCAUUUUCCUCCAGGAAGGUGUGAGGACAAAGGGAUGAGCGAAGGCGGGUCGUCUGACGUCCGGUCGCGUCCACGUGGGAACCGCGUCCCCGCCUGCUGACCUCGCCGGCGCUGUCCCUGCUUUGCUCCCGGGGAGGCCGGUCCCAGCCUCUGCCCCCUGGCCCAGGAGGAGGUCCGGGCAGCCCCUCGUCCUGCUGUGCCCUGGGGUGGAGAGGCCACCGAGGCUGUGCCCGUCCGGUCCCCCCACCCACCUUGCCGCUGCCCGGAGCCGCAGACCCCGGGGUUCCUGCCGCCUCGCACUCACUCUACCCCCUGCCCUGGCCCCAGCGUUGGGGCUGCCCAGGCCAGUGUGGACGCUCAGAACCGCCGUUGGAUGCACGAAGUGUCAGUGGCGCUAUGACCCUCCCUUCAUUCUCGGCGGGUUUGGGAGCCCCGCUUCUACCCCGUCCCCUCCUCUGAGGUCACCUACCAGGAGCCAGCCUUGCUCUGUCCCCGGAAGACAGCCUCCUACGGGCUUCGUCCUCUGUCCCCGCCGGCCUGGACUCUGCG